GAGCUUGCUUUCUCGAGCGAGUGGCGAACGGGUGAGUAACGCGUGAGGAACCUGCCUCAAAGAGGGGGACAACAGUUGGAAACGACUGCUAAUACCGCAUAAGCCCACGGGUCGGCAUCGACCAGAGGGAAAAGGAGCAAUCCGCUUUGAGAUGGCCUCGCGUCCGAUUAGCUAGUUGGUGAGGUAACGGCCCACCAAGGCAACGAUCGGUAGCCGGACUGAGAGGUUGAACGGCCACAUUGGGACUGAGACACGGCCCAGACUCCUACGGGAGGCAGCAGUGGGGAAUAUUGCACAAUGGGGGAAACCCUGAUGCAGCGACGCCGCGUGGAGGAAGAAGGUCUUCGGAUUGUAAACUCCUGUUGUUGAGGAAGAUAAUGACGGUACUCAACAAGGAAGUGACGGCUAACUACGUGCCAGCAGCCGCGGUAAAACGUAGGUCACAAGCGUUGUCCGGAAUUACUGGGUGUAAAGGGAGCGCAGGCGGGAAGACAAGUUGGAAGUGAAAUCCAUGGGCUCAACCCAUGAACUGCUUUCAAAACUGUUUUUCUUGAGUAGUGCAGAGGUAGGCGGAAUUCCCGGUGUAGCGGUGGAAUGCGUAGAUAUCGGGAGGAACACCAGUGGCGAAGG
rnacentral:rRNA from 1 species